UAUUGAUUGCCUAGAAUUUAUUCAUUUUUCAGGUUUAACUUUGCAUACCAUGCCUUUCUCAUCUGAUUUUCAUUUCCUUUUCCUCCUUGAACCAUUGAACAACAGGGAGUCCAUCCAUGUGAUAGAAGAAAAAGCAUCAGUGAAUAUUGGCCUCUGUUUCCUGCAAUUGAUUUUUCCUUAUUGACAACAAUGAGGAUAAUUUGUGGGAAGCUAACUGUAGAGAAAAGAAUGAAGAAAUUGCAACCAGGGGAAUGAAAUUCUUGAACCGGCUGUGGACACGAGAAGAGAGGGA